rnacentral:rRNA from 1 species
GAAGGGCGUACUAAUCUGCGAUAAGCGCCGGUAAGGUGAUAUGAACCGUUAUAACCGGCGAUACCCGAAUGGGGAAACCCAGUGUGACUCGUCACACUAUCAUUAACUGAAUCCAUAGGUUAAUGAGGCGAACCGGGGGAACUGAAACAUCUAAGUACCCCGAGGAAAAGAAAUCAACCGAGAUUCCCCCAGUAGCGGCGAGCGAACGGGGAGGAGCCCAGAGCCUGAAUCAGCAUGUGUGUUAGUGGAAGCGUCUGGAAAGGCGCGCGAUACAGGGUGACAGCCCCGUACACAAAAGCGCAUGUGCUGUGAGCUCGAUGAGUAGGGCGGGACACGUGGUAUCCUGUCUGAAUAUGGGGGGACCAUCCUCCAAGGCUAAAUACUCCUGACUGACCGAUAGUGAACCAGUACCGUGAGGGAAAGGCGAAAAGAACCCCGGCGAGGGGAGUGAAAAAGAACCUGAAACCGUGUACGUACAAGCAGUGGGAGCACCCUUUGGGUGUGACUGCGUACCUUUUGUAUAAUGGGUCAGCGACUUAUAUUCUGUAGCAAGGUUAACCGAAUAGGG